rnacentral:rRNA from 1 species
ACGCCAUAGAGGGUGAGAGCCCCGUCUGGUUGGACACCGAUCCUCUGUAAAGCUCCUUCGAYAGYCGGUAGUUUGGGAAUGCUGCUCUAAAUGGGAGGUAUAUGUCUUCUAAGCUAAAUACCGGCCAGAGACCGAUAGCGCACAAGUAGAGUGAUCGAAAGAUGAAAAGAACUUUGAAAAGAGAGUUAAAAAGUACGUGAAAUUGUUGAAAGGGAAGCGCUUGUGACCAGACUUGGGCUUGGUUGAUCAUCCGGGGUUCUCCCCGGUGCACUCUUCCGGCUCAGGCCAGCAUCAGUUCGCCCUGGGGGAUAAAGGCUUCGGGAAUGUGGCUCUCUCCGGGGAGUGUUAUAGCCCGCUGCGUAAUACCCUGUGGCGGACUGAGGUUCGCGCAUUCGCAAGGAUGCUGGCGUAAUGGUCAUCAGUGACCCGUCUUGAAACACGGACCAA